AAUAAAUUAAACAAAAUGCAACUAAAAUCCUACACUCCUUGCUUCUCUCCGAUCCUCGUAUAUUCUUAUGGAUCUGAGAAGAAAUAGAAUAUAGAAGUGAGCUUUGCGAGCUCAAUAAGUUACUAACAACACUAAUUCAUUUAAAUAUUUAUACAAAAAAAUAAAUUUUAAUUUCAUGAUUUUUUAUAAAAAUAUUUCAAUAAGUAUAAAAGUAUGCCAUAUCAAUCAACAUCGAUUCGAAUUAUGUAUUUGCUCGAAAUAAAUUUUUUAAUCUCUCAAUGAUCGAUCUUCUGCUGUCACUCUCCUAGUAUCUCUGACUAUGGCCAUGAUCAGCCCAUGGCUAAUCUUGAAAAAGAUUAGAUCAUGACUAUAACAUAUUCUCCAUUGGUCAUGAGUCAGUGAUCAUCCCACCGAAAGUCUGGAAGGAAAAACUAGCUCCAAUAUCAUGUGAAGAAUGUGUUCUUAUCAGCACAUGCUAGUAAUUAACCCCGC
rnacentral:lncRNA from 1 species